GCGGGGAUCUCCCGGGCACCCGCCCCUCUGCCGGCGGCGCUGACAGACCGCUCCUCCCUCCCUCCCUCCCUUCUCUCUUCCAGACGAGUUUGCCACACAGGAGUACAGCGCUCCCUGCGCCACAGAGGAAGUAGACCAGGGCAAUGCAUGAAGAAUACUCCCAGCUGCUGGAACCCACCUGCCUCACUACCGCCACCACCAUCUACGGAGUAAGAGAUGAAUAGUGCCUGCAAGGAACGGGAAGUGAACUUUACAAAUAAAUUAACUGUAGUCACCAAUGAUUUUUGAACAGUUUAUUCCCACUUGUGUUUUUUCUUGCUCAGCCUCCAGUCACAUCUUUAAUCCCCCCAACUUCUUAGGUUGAAGAGUAUCCCAUCCAGCCAUGCUGUGUGCAGGGCAACAAGGCCGACAAGUAAGACAAAAAAAAAAAAAAGACUGAUUUAAGUUGAGGUCAGCCUUUC